UGUGGCCUAAAUAUCCUGAAUGCAUCAAAUCCUGUCUGAUCUUUGAAGCUAAACAGGCUCAGCACUGGUUAGAACCUGGAUGAGAGACUACCAAUGAAUACCAGGUGUGUAGGCUUUGU
rnacentral:rRNA from 1 species